GGGGGCGACUGGAUUCGACAUAUUAGCCAUGAGGGUGGAAGCAGGCCGUGGUCUCCUCGCCACGUUAAACAGGGGUACAGUCAAAUUUAAUUGACGACAAUUCUUAUGCUCUCGCUGCUUAAUUAAGCCAGCGACGUCGACCCGGGGAAUUUCCCCGGCUCCGGGAAGACGUCAUUUAGGGGAAUGCUGCUGCGCACGUAGUCGGUAUGGCGCAGAGUAAGCUUGAACCAACUAGAGAUUGCAACGCUUGUCUGUGCGCUGCGCAUGAUCGAAACUCGAGCAUAGACUGAGCUUGGAGAUGCCGCCCAGGUGGUUCUUAUGGACCGGAGUUCGAUUCUCCGCGCCUCCACCA
rnacentral:tmRNA from 1 species